AUGAACGCUGGCGGCGUGCCUAAUACAUGCAAGUCGAGCGAACAGAUGAGGAGCUUGCUCCUCUGACGUUAGCGGCGGACGGGUGAGUAACACGUGGAUAACCUACCUAUAAGACUGGGAUAACUUCGGGAAACCGGAGCUAAUACCGGAUAAUAUAUUGAACCGCAUGGUUCAAUAGUGAAAGACGGUUUUGCUGUCACUUAUAGAUGGAUCCGCGCCGCAUUAGCUAGUUGGUAAGGUAACGGCUUACUAAGGCAACGAUGCGUAGCCGACCUGAGAGGGUGAUCGGCCACACUGGAACUGAGACACGGUCCAGACUCCUACGGGAGGCAGCAGUAGGGAAUCUUCCGCAAUGGGCGAAAGCCUGACGGAGCAACGCCGCGUGAGUGAUGAAGGUCUUCGGAUCGUAAAACUCUGUUAUUAGGGAAGAACAAAUGUGUAAGUAACUAUGCACGUCUUGACGGUACCUAAUCAGAAAGCCACGGCUAACUACGUG
rnacentral:rRNA from 1 species